GGCAAUGACUUAUCUUUUAUUGAUAACAAGAAAUUAUAUAUACAAUCUACAAUCAUUGAACCACAGAAUAAUCAUUAUAAUAUUAUAUAGUUCAAUGUUUACAAUCUACAGUCCGUGAUAAAAAAUAAUAAUUAGUAUCUAAUAAUAUGUUUUAGAUUCUGAGCGGAGCGAUUAAUGUCAGACUUUACAAUGAUGUGUUUUCUUUUUUAUUUAUUUAUUCAUUUUUUAUUUGUGUCUGUCGUCGCCGUUUGCUACAGCUAAACUGCUUCGAAUUUCUCCAUCUUUUCUGAUAGGAAAGUGAAUCUAGUUGGUACUUUGGGGGUUUAAAAACUCAAAAUUAAAAAAUUCCCAAUAGUUUUCAAAAGCACAUGAAAAAACAACAUACAAAUUAAGAAAAAACGGGAAUUUUUAUGAAUAAUCUAUUUUGGUUUUUGGUGUAACUCUAAAACACAUGCCGUAUAAACAUAAAAUGUUCACUGGUUGUUUAUAUUACCAUUUUAUAUACACGAUAACAUUUUCAAAAUAUUUUGAUGUGUUUUAAACGGUUUACGGACAUUAUAAAUUUCAAAAAUUUUAGUUUUUUUUUCUAUGAAUGUCAAUAAAAUUUUAUUUGUUGGGUAAAUAAGCUUGACAAUUUAAUAUAAAGCUCCUAAUAUAUUGUUACAAUAAUACAAUAUAUUGACAGUUGAAAAUAUUAAAAAUCCAGUCACAAUUUUUUUUAUAACUACGCAUUUAAAGUUCAAAUCUUUACAAAAUACGUAAAAAUCACGAAAAAUUGCAUAUUAUUUUGAGUUAGAAAUUCAUUAAAUAUUUUCUUUUUAAAUCUAAGAUUUGAAAAUGUAUUACAAGAUUCCUCUUAAGUUUGUCUAAUUUUGUUUUUCCAAACGCAUUUGAAAACUACUGUGAAUUUUCAAUUUUGACCUUUCUAAUGCAUUAACUAGAUUCACUUUCCUAUUAAAAGUAGCUGAUAAUCGAAUUAUUUUUACUACCAAAAGUGGAUAACAGACAGAAAAAAAACACAUUGUAGAGAAAAUAUUGAACCACAGCCAAAAUAUAUUUAAUAAUUCAACUUGAGAUGUAAUUUGUGCUUGAUCUUAAUUUUAAGAUAAAUACUUAAAAUGUUCACUAAAUUUAAGCAUUUUCAAUACUUAGUAUUCUUUGGUUUAAGCAUAAUUUUAAAAAUAUUUUGAGUAAUUUUGAUAUAUUUAUUGACAAUUAACAUUUACGAUUUUUUUGUAAAUAAGUAAUGAUAAUUAAAUUCUCAGUCGGUCAAAAAGCUUGAAAAUUUAAUACAAUUUCUUUCAGUUUUUUAAGUUGUUAUCAGCAUUGAUUAUAAAUAGUAAAUACUAGUAAAUAGUAUGAAAAUGUGUCAUUUAAAAUUGGAGUCCGCCACAGGGUGCAAUGCACCUAGGACCAAAAUAUUUUAUUGAAAUCUCUACCACCUCGUUAUCAAAAUCGGGAAAUCUAUCACAGCCCCCUUUUUUUAGUCCUUAACACCCUUAGAUAUAAAUAUUUUAAAUAUAUUUUUAAUAUAACAUUUUAUUUUUUGGUACUUGAUAGUAAAUAAUAAAUAAAGGUAGGUAAAUCAGUAAUAAUAAUUGUGAAUUUAUGAUGGCUACCAAACGUUUUAUGAAAAUAAAAGUAAAUGUUAAUAGAAUAUAUUAUCGUCAAAAGAAUGUGAUCGAAAAUAUUAAGAUAUUUGAUAUAGACUGAUUCCUAUAUGGACAAAAAAAAAAACAACCACGAGGAUACGAGGAUUGCUUUUCUAUACAAUCAUAAUACAGAAUGUCAGAAUCUGAGUAUAGAACAUUUUUGCCCAAAAUUAAAUACUGUUUUUGAUGGCUAAAAAGAACUGAGCAAUGAAGUAUAAGAACACAGAAGUCAUCUUCGAAGAAGAAAAAUCAACGGUUGUUCAUCUACUAUCAUAAAUUCAUACCAUCCAAAAAUUGAAGCAGUUAAAUGUGAAGUUAAAGAACAGAUCAGAAUACAGAAUAUUAAUCAAGGAAUUCCAAUACUAAACUAUGGAGGAUCAGUAGCACUCAGAGUUAACUAAAUAUUAUAAAUACUCAUUAUUAUCAUUAUUAUUCUAAAUAAUAUAAUGUCCGUAUGCAUUGUCAAUUUAUGUGCCAUAUAAAUUGACUCUGCAUACGGGCAUAAAAAUGUUCAUUAAAUUGUAAAUUGUACAUAACUCUAGACCUAAGCUAACUACACACAAUGUUCUAUUGUUAGCCAGAGCCGUGUCAAGUGGGUAAAAAUGUGCCGAGUGUCCUGGGGUGGCAAAUGUUUAAAUAUCUAGUUUUAAAAAUUUGAAUUGCCAAAUAUUAUUGCCCUAGGGUGCCAAUGUGCUAACCAUUGGCACUGUUGUUAGCUUUAAUAUUAUUGUGAUUAGUGAAUUUGAAAGUAAGAAUAUUAUUUAGGGCCCCUAACAUAGACCGAUAAACUAGUUUAAAGGUCUAUGUCACAACCCAAGUUUAUUUUAUAUUCCAAGUUAUAAAAUAAAUUAUGGUAAAAGUUUAUUUUUCUAAAGAGAUUUAAUAAUCGUAAAAACUCCACUGUCUUGGAUUUGUGUUUUAUUCGACGGUGUAUUUAAAUCUAAAAUGUUUUUAUAUUAAAAAAAUAAUUUAUCAUUAUUAAAGUUUUUUUUAUAUUGUUUUAUAUUCAUUUACUAUUUCCAAAUAUGUUUUAGAUUUAGAUUUUCAAACUAACCUAAAUAGUAUAAUUUGUUAUACAUAUAUAUGUAUAUAUGUAUAGGUACCUACUUUGUUAAAAAGCUUAUGAUUAUUAAAUGUUAAUAAAUAUUACAAAUAAACAAAUAAUAAUUUAAAGAUAUUUUAUACCUAGUCCAUAAAAAACAUUUUAGAACUUCAAUAAUAUCGAAAAUAGGUAAUGAAAAGAAAUUAGAAUCUUUUUAUAUGUUUUGAUUAAUAAUAAUUUAAUUAAAAUAACAAUUUAAAUAAGUGUCCUAAUUUAAAAACAAUAUUUCAAAUAAAAAUAACUAUAUUUUAAUAGUUUAAUAAAAAUUUUAAUGUAAAAAUACCAUUUAGGCACAUAAUAAUGAAAUAUGUUUAUAAUAUAAGUUUUUUAGUUUAGUAUGAUUGUCCAUCCAAAGUCUGGAAUUCAAUAUUAUAUUCAUAAAUUAAAUUAACCAUCGGAUAAACAAAAUAUCUUCCUACCUACUUAAAAAUAAUAACAGACUAGAUUAGUUAAUUACUAUCACCUUUUUGUUUUAAGUAUUAUGGGUAGAUCGUGGAUUUACUAUCUUUUUUAACUGUACCUAUAUUUGAAAGUUAAAUAAAAUACUAAUAAACUAUACUUUAUACCUACUUCAUAAUGUAAAUUUGCAUUACCUAGGACCUAGAUAGAUAGACCUUUUUAUAUUAUAUGCGGUGAAUGUAUUGAUUUUACAAUAAUGUGUUUUUUUUGUGUCUGUAUUUGAUAAGUAGUCCAAAGCAAAAAAAGGUUUUUAUACGUAUCAUCAAAUUUUGAAAAUAUUUUUUAUUUGGUUCUUUUUGAGCUAUUUAGUAUUUAUACCAUUUUUCUAUUUUUUUAAAUUAUAAUAAAUAAUUUUUUAGUCUGUUAAAAAA